GCCAGAGUGCUGAAAUUGGUAGACAGGCACGGCUUAGGACCGUGUGCCGCAAGGUGUGAGAGUUCGAGUCUCUCCUCUGGCACCC
rnacentral:tRNA from 1 species